rnacentral:lncRNA from 1 species
UGAUGGGUGCAAUCAAGCAUUGUUCGACCCUCUUCUUUUCCUCUUUACCUUAGAUUGUCGCGGCCACCUCUCCUUUCGUCGUCUCGACCACCUCCAAUCAAAACCCGCCCCCUCGUCUAGUUCCAAUUCCAAUGGCUUGUAGCUCAACGAGUGGCCCAAGCAAAAGAGAGGUGGCAGAGGAGGAGGAUAGAGGCGGCGAUCGGCAAUGAUGA